GUACUGUUUGGUUUUAAAAUGUGUGUAUAUAAUAUGAGUUUUUUUGGCAUCAAACUUACAGAGGAUGAAAGAGGAGGAGUUUAACAUCUCAGAUGAUCUUGUUAGUUUUGCUAGACUGUCACAAAGCUCAGUCCUGCUGCAGUGAACACACACAUGUACAAUGAUACUUCAUUCAGUCAUUCUGAUCUCUGUCUUCGCAUGUGUGAGUUUUGGAGAUGAAAUCACACCAGACAGCACUGAAGAGUCUGCUGCAGAGGGUUCAACUCUUACAUUAUCCUGCAGUUAUUCAUCUGCAGAUUCACUUCUCUGGUACCGUCAGUAUCCCGGAUCAGCUCCUCAAUAUCUUGUGCUUAAAAUAGAGAGUGUGAAAGAGUCUGCAACAUCUGAGGUAGAUUCCAGAAUCUCUACUCAGACCAGAAAAGAAAAACAAGCCACAAAAGAGAUCAAACGUGUGGAUCUGAUCAUCUCCUCUGCUGCAGUAUCAGACUCUGCUCUGUAUUACUGUGCUCUGACGCCCACAGUCACAGGAAACACAAGAUCACUGUACAAAAACCUGACACAGCUGAAGGUGUACAAAUAAUUUCCUUCCAUAAAUCCAUCUGAAUUAAAGGUAGAUUAUGAUUUAUGAUUUCACACUAUAUAACU